rnacentral:rRNA from 1 species
AGCGAACGCUGGCGGCAUGCCUAACACAUGCGAGUCGCACGGGGGGGCUUCGGCCUCCCAGUGGCGGACGGGUGAGGAACGCGUAGGGACCUGUCGAGGGGUGGGGGAUAACCGCGGGAAACUGCGGCUAAUACCGCAUGACGCCGCGGCGUGACAGCCGGGGCCAAAGGCGAAAGCCGCCCGCCGAGGGGCCUGCGUCCGAUUAGCUGGUUGGCGGGGUAGCGGCCCACCAAGGCGUCGAUCGGUAGCUGGUCUGAGAGGGUGAUCAGCCACACCGGGACUGAGACACGGCCCGGACUCCUACGGGAGGCAGCAGUGGGGAAUAUUGGACAAUGGGCGCAAGCCUGAUCCAGCAAUACCGCGUGGGUGAAGAAGGUCUUCGGAUUGUAAAGCCCUUUCGGCGGGGACGAUGGUGACGGUACCCGCAGAAGAAGCCCCGGCUAACUUCGUG